rnacentral:rRNA from 1 species
GUGCACCAGGGAGAAUUUUUCUCAAUGGGGGAAACCCUGAAGGAGCGACGCCGCGUGGAGGAUGAAGGUCUUCGGGUUGUAAACUCCUGUCAUUUGGGAACAAGGUGCGCGCGUUAACUGCGCGCGCAUUGAUAGUACCAGAAGAGGAAGAGACGGCUAACUCUGUGCCAGCAGCCGCGGUAAUACAGAGGUCUCAAGCGUUGUUCGGAUUCAUUGGGCGUAAAGGGUGCGUAGGCGGCGCGGUAAGUCGGGUGUGAAAUUUCGAGGCUUAACUUCGAAACUGCAUUCGAUACUGCCGUGCUUGAGGACUGGAGAGGAGACUGGAAUUUACGGUGUAGCGGUGAAAUGCGUAGAUAUCGUAAGGAAGACCAGUGGCGAAGGCGGGUCUCUGGACAGUUCCUGACGCUGAGGCACGAAGGCCAGGGGAGCAAACGGGAUUAGAUACCCGUGUAGU